rnacentral:rRNA from 1 species
AUUGAACGCUGGCGGUAUGGCUAAACAUGCAAGUCGAACGGACCCGCAAGGGUUAGUGGCGGAAGGGUGAGGAAUAGUAUCGAACGUACCCUGAGGUGGGAGAUAGGCAUGGGAAACUGUGCGUAAUACCCCAUGAUCUCGGAAGAGCAAAGGCGCAAGUCGCCUUGGGAGCGGCGAUAUUCCUAUCAGGUAGUUGGCGGGGUAAUGGCCCACCAAGCCGAAGACGGGUAGCAGGUGUGAGAGCACGGCCUGCCACAUCGAGACUGAGACACUGCUCGGACUCCUACGGGAGGCUGCAGUAACGAAUAUUCCGCAAUGCACGAAAGUGUGACGGAGCAAUGCCGCGUGCAGGAUGAAGCAGCUUCGCUGUGUAAACUGCUGUCAGGAGUUACUAACAACUGAAGAACUACCAGAGGAAAGGACCGGCUAAUCUCGUGCCAGCAGCCGCGGUAAU